rnacentral:lncRNA from 1 species
CGGAUAACGCCGUGGACAGCGAUUGCCGCGGACGGUGAAGGUUGGUUGGGGAGGUUGGAGGGGACGGCCGGCCUGCCUAAUCGUCUACCUGGACGUGCCGUGCUCUCUCCCGCGGCUCGCCUUGCUCAGAUUUGGUGGGUGGCUUGAAUUCCGUUGAUUGGUGAUCGGUUUCGUUUUGAACUGAUGUUUGAUCUUUUCAUUUUGGCUCGAAAACUUCUCUUUCUUGGCAAAUCGCCAUUGCUGCCAUUCGAGUAGAGUAAAAUAAACAAACAAACAAGAUUGCCUCUUAACUUGUCUCCGCGAUGGUGCUGCAGAGCAGGGGCGGCGUCUCCAACUCCGAGUAACAGAGAAGCGCCGCCAUGCACUGCUUCCGGUUCCCGAGCUGGGAGCGGGAGCGGGACGGCGACGAGCGGCGGGGGCCGGCGACGACGACGACGAAGACGACGGGGCGGUCGCUGUCGGCGCGGUCCACCAGCAGCACCACCUCCACCACGGACCCCGACGUGCGGCGGUCCGCGUCCGAGUGCUGCUCCCUCAACGCGUCGGAGCUCAGCAGCGCCGGCUCCCUGGGCCGGUGCCGGCAGCUGUCUCUGUCGUCGCAGCGGCCGCCCAACGCGCUCCGCGUCUUCACCUUCCAGGAGCUCCGAUCCGCCACCCGCGGGUUCAGCCGCGCGCAGAUGCUCGGCGAGGGCGGCUUCGGCUGCGUCUACCGGGGCAACGUCCGGAGCGCGGCCGGCGAGCCGCGCCGGAGCAUCGACGUCGCCAUCAAGCAGCUCAGCCGCAAGGGCUUGCAGGGCCACAAGGAGUGGAUGACGGAGGUGAACGUGCUCGGGGUGGUGGAGCACGCCAACCUCGUCAAGCUCAUCGGAUACUGCGCCGAGGACGACGAGCGGGGGAUGCAGCUGCUGCUCGUCUACGAGUUCAUGCCCAACGGGAGCCUGGCGGACCACCUGUCGGCCAGGUCGCCGCGGCCGGCAUCGUGGGCAAUGAGGCUCAGGGUGGCGCUUGACACCGCUCGAGGGUUGAAGUACCUCCACGAAGAAUCCGAAUUCAAGGUACACACGAUCCAUUCACCUCUCCUUUUUUUAGAGAGAACAGCCCAGGGUCACCUCUGUAUCAGAUGUUCUUCUGACCGCUAAAUUUCCCCUGUUCAUUGCAUUUCAGCCUUGUGCCAAUGAGAAGAAGCAUUGCAUUGUGGUUGAACUUGUUUAUGGACUAGUCUUACAUAACUUUGGAUCAUAACAAUUCUUUUUUUGUUAGAUAAUAUUUCGAGAUCUGAAACCAUCAAACAUUCUUCUCGACGAGAACUGGAAUGCAAAACUGUCAGACUUCGGCUUGGCAAGAUUAGGACCUCAAGAAGGAAGCCAUGUGUCCACAGCGGUAUGCAACAAACAAUCUUCUUUGCAAAUGUACAGAAUUGAUGACGCACUGUUCUUAGCUUCUUACUGCAAAAUGCUGGCACAUUGAUUUGAAGUACAGCUUCCUCGCGCCCCUCUGGUACAGUAGUACCUAUAACCAAGUAGCAAACCCAACAGCGAUUAGAAGACAGAAUCAUUCUACCAUUCUGAUCUGGUCAAUCAACUGCUACACGUGUUUGAAAACUCUUCAAAUACUGAUGGCCUCGUGAAAACAAGGGGCUGACCACAUUACUAUCUUCUAAACAAGCAAAUAAAAGUAGAAAAGUAACACAUAGGCGGUCAAGCACUUUCGGUUAGUUUGCACGCUAGUGCCGAAGGACCCAUCAGAAAAGUCACCCAACCUUUCUGGUCAGUUACAACCAUCUAGCUUUGUUGGAGCUUUCCAGUUGCAAACACUUGACCACGUGUGAUUCUAAAAUUAUGCAUCAACUCAUAGAUAUCAACAUCUGUUAAAGGUUCUUGUUAUUAAAAUUCUUGUUUCUAUGGCAAUCAAACAGGUGGUGGGGACAAUUGGAUAUGCAGCUCCUGAGUACAUCCACACAGGACGCCUCAGCACCAAAAACGACAUAUGGAGCUUCGGUGUGGUGCUUUAUGAGCUCCUUACAGGCCGGCGGCCUCUGGACCGAAAUAGGCCGAGAGGUGAGCAGAAUCUCGUGGACUGGGUGAAGCCCUACUCUUCCGACGCUAAGAAGCUUGAGACUGUGAUCGAUCCGAGGCUUCAGGGGAACUAUAGCAUAAAAUCAGCAGCCCAGCUUGCGUCAGUGGCAAACAAGUGCCUGGUGCGCCAUGCUAGGUACCGGCCCAAGAUGAGCGAGGUGCUGGAUAUGGUGCAAAAGAUCGUAGAGAGCAGCGAACUUGGAACACCGGAGCAUCCCCUGAUCAGCAAUUCAAAAGAAUUAGUGAGUGAUGAAAAGAAAAGGAAAGUCCUUGACUUGAAGAGAAGAAUUGCAGAUAUUAAAGCAGGGGAAGGGAGAUGGUUUGCAUGGCAAAGAUGGACGCCCAAGCUUGUGAGAACACAAUGAUUCACAGCAUCAGCAGAUGAGGUGUUCUUGCAUGGCUUGACUUGCAUAGUUAGUAGUGAAAACAGCAAGUGACUAAAAGAUCACCUGAAGUUUUCAUUUAGCAUACAGGUCUGAGAGCAUGACAAGUGUAAACAAACGGUUUGGUGCAGCCUAUGCGGACACUUUCUGUAAGCACAUGUAGGCAGUCUUCUCCACCCACCUGGAGGUUCCAUGUUUUUUAUCAGAGCUUAAUCAAAGAUCUAGGAGUAAUUUUUCCAAGUAGAAGGGUUAUUGUACAGUUUAACUUGGUUUUGUGAAGUGAUUUUUGAGUUGUAUUAAGUGCUAAGGGUAUUCAUGUAGUGUAUGUAGCUCAUUACUUCCUAUGUUUGCAGGUGUUGCACUUUGCAUGCACCUACCUGUAGAAUUCCUGUUUAUCUACAUUUGGCACAGCUGAUAUGCAUAAAAAGAAGAGGGGUAAUAUGUACCGACGCGAUGUAGGGCGGAAACUGCUUAUGAACUCCCAUAUAAAUUGCCGGAACAUGCUCCUUGGUUCCUGGCACAUUGCAUGCUCCGGACACAGUUUUAGCACAUCCUUCUGACUGAUGGAACACUGUGAUAUGGUUUUCACCUUAUUGCCAAAUCUGUCAUACAAGCAGUAGCUACAGGUGAAGCAAUUCCUGAAAAAAGCUUAUCCAGAUGUAAAUACUGUCUGCCUGCUAUUCGAGCAAUGUCCAUGUCGAUGAAGUAAUCAAGAUUGUCAUUAAUUUCUGCUUUGUUUUACUGAAUUCUCAGAGCAGCUAGGAGGAUCUCAAGAGUCAAGAUUACUUCUGGAUCCCAUCCUUUUAUGUUUCUUUUUCAGUAGAGAAUGUGGAACAAAUGUUGUUUCUAAUCUGCACAUAUCUGUCCCCUGAUAGAUCUGCUCGCCCACUAGGUUGUACUAGCUGGCUUAGAUUCCACUUAGCCUAAGUGAUGCUUUGGAAUUUGGAUAGUGGCAUAGUGCUUCAGUGGACAGAAUUGAGUGACAAAUACUAUGCCCAGAUUCACUCUGAAAUAACCAAACUACUUCAUGGAAAUUGGUUGUUCAGAGAUCCACAGGUGCAACCAUCAUUCUAGCAGUGUUGCACAGGGGUAAUCUGGAAUGGUAUCAUCAGCCUUCAUUUUCAUCUCCAUUGCUAUUAGAUCCAGCAGGUCAUAAAUCUGUGCUGAGCCCGGAUGAGUCUUGUCCCGGGCAAUGAACCUGGAGAUCCCUCCACCAACAUCAAUCUCACUAAACCCAGGGACCUUCUUUACACCCCUCUCCUCCAUCACCUUUCUUGCUUUCUUCGCCUCUUGCCACCGCCUGGCAACAGAGUAGAUAUUGGACAAGCCAAUGUACCUGCCAUCAUGGUCUGGCUGCAAUUGGACAAGCUGCCUGCCGAUUACCUCACCAAGUUCUACCCAUCCAUGUAAAUGACAUGCGUUCAGGAGAGCACCGAGCACAGAAACACUGGGCUUCAUUGGCAUGCUUCUAACGACACCAUAUGCUUCCUCCAAGCGCCCUGCUCGACCAAGCACAUCAACCAGGCAAGCAUAGUGCUCAACGUGCGGUCUGAGCCCUUGCGCUUCGAGCAAGCGGAAGAAUAUCCAAGCCUCAUCCACCAGACCACGGUGGACGCAAGCGCUCAACACGCAGAGGUACGUGAUCUCAUCCGGCACAACCCCAGCACGCGGCAUCUCCCGGAACAUGUCCACUGAUUCGGUGCCCAUGCCAUGCACUGCAAGGCCGCCGAUCAUGGCGUUCCAUAUCAGAACAUCAGUGCUCUCCACUGGCACAGCCCGAAACACCCCAAGAGCCUCACGGAUCGCCCCACACUUAGCGUACAUGUCGACCAGUGAGGUGGCGAGCCUGAGGUUGAGCUGGAAACCGCGCUCACUGAGGUACCUGUGCACCCGCCUCCCACGCUCGAGGUCCCCCAGGUGCGCGCACGCGCCUAGCACGCUCACCAUCGUGACGUGGUUUGCCCUCACCCCGCCCCCACCCUCCUCAUCCUCCACUGCUGCAGCGGCGUUCUCCAUCAUCUCGAACACCGCGAGUGCUUCCCGGUGCUCCCCACACUUGACACACCCGUCGAUCAUGGCGCUCCAGGACACCACGUCCCGCCUCGGCAUCCGAGCGAACACCUGGCGCACGGCGGGGAGGUCCCGGCACUUGGCGUACCCGUCAAGGAGCGCGUUCCAGGAGACGAGGUUGGGCCGGGGGAUUUCGUCGAACACCCUGCGGGCGUGGUCCGGCAGGGCGCAGGCGGCGUAGGCGUGGACGAGGGAGUUGGCGACGUGGAGGUCGGCAGGGAGGAGCCCGAGCCGGAGCGGGUGCGCGUGGAGCGCGGCCGCGAGGGGGGCGGAGGACAGGCGCGCGGCGGCGCGCGCGAGGAAAGGGAAGGUGAGGUGGGACGGGCGGAGGGCGGAGCGGAGGAGGAGGAUGAAGAGGGAGAAGGAGAGGGAGGGGGACGGCGAGGAGGAAGUGGACCGGAUGAGGGGGUCGAGGAGCUCGGUGGUGAGCGUGCGGCCAUUGAGGUGGCGGAGGAGAUGCGGGGGCAGUGGCGGGGAGGGAAGCGGAGGCGGCAUGAGCUGGGGACGGACCAAGGGCGGGAAUUGGCUGGCCUCGGGGAGACGGGGGCUGACGGGGACACGACCCGUUUCUACUGAUUGAUUGAAGUACUUGAGAAAUGAUUUGAGUUAUCUCGCUUUUUGUUGGGGGACAAUAGCUUCAAAAUGGGCGUCAGUAUCUGGAUUCGACGCAACUGUAAAUCCACAUCAGCAUUUGGAGUGGGAUUGAAUAGCCGGGGACCUCCGGUUUUUAGCGAACUGCAAAUGUCCUAGAUUUCGAAUCCAAAAAAAAAAACACGCAUCUACAAUUGAUGAUAUUAUCGCAAAAGCGAAUUGCCAUAGAGAGAAUUUAAACCUCAACUUUUGCGAAUGGAUUGUUUCGAAAGUUUUCAAAACUUCAGAACGUUUGCAUGGAGGACCUGAACUAACUUCCUCUAGCAGUCCAGCCCCAAGGUCCCCGGGGUCUCUGCCUGCGGCAGCUCCAACCUAAAAUUGACCAGGACAGUUUUCUAAGCUGCAGCUAUGCUCCAACGAGCAGGCCCACAUUCACCCUGAACAGUUUAUUCCUAUUCGGGUAAAUAGUCUGGCCGAGAACAUCCAACAGCCUAACUAACAUACAUCACCUUGCACCACCAAAAGAAAAGGUGAACAUAAAUCAUAACUGCAGAACCCAGCAAAGAUAUUCUCAUUGAGAUUGUCAUCAACCAAUGACGACAUGGCCAACAGCAUGUAUCAUGAUAAAGUAAAAGCCGAGAGUCGGCGACGUCCAAAUGUACGGAAAAUAAAUAUCAUUGCAGGACAUCCCGUGUCUAAAGUACGAUUAGUUUUAAACACAUGACUGACACAACUGAUAUCAAACACGACCCAGAACCAACCCAACAAGACACCUAGCUGUAUAGAUCGUCAUCAUCCGCUCCGCCUGUGGAAGCAAAAGGAUCAGCUGCAGCUGCAGGACCAGCGGUCGUGGACUGCUCCGAGAAGCGGAACUCGCUGCCAAACCCACGGGACUGCUGCAAUGUCUGGGCGAACGCCUGGUACUUGCGGAUAUCGGCAUCGCUGACACUGCGACGGGCGUACUUCAUUGACUCCUCAAAGUGAGCUGCCUUGAUUUCAGCAAUGUCAUCGACUUCAUCCUCCUCCAUUGCCUCAGGGUUGUCCUUUCUCCGCCUUUCCCUCUCAAUAUCCUGAAAAACAUAUUCAUCCAGAUUAGUCACAAGCAAUUUAUUCAUAUGAAAAUAAUAAGGCCUUAAAAUAAAAUGGCUGCAAUUCUACAAAAACUUAGCUAGAAGACAUGAUCAUUCACAAAGCUACAAUGUACUAAAUUGGCAAGUACAUCUUGCUAAAAUGUCUGACCAGUUCAUGAUCAGAUGUAAUCUGUGAAAUAAUUUCUAUAUUCAGAGCAUAACUGAUUAGGUUUGCGUUCAGAGAACUGUUAAGAGGAAGUUACCUUCUCGAUAUUCUCUCUGAUGGCAUAUUUAACUGCACGCUGGCAAAUUUCUGUGAUAUCUGCACCACUGAACCCUUGGGUGUACUUGGCAAGAGCAUUCAAGUCCACUUCCUUCGCCACAGGGGACUUCCUAAGGCAGGCCUUGAAGAUCUGGAGCCUAGACUGCUCAUCGGGCAGUGGAAUGUAGAUCAGCUGGUCAAGACGGCCUGGCCUAAGCAGAGCUGGAUCGAUGAUAUCAGGCCUGUUUGUAGCCCCAAUAAUGAACACGGUUUUCUUGGCAUUCAUGCCAUCCAUCUCUGUCAAAAGCUGAUUAAGCACUCUAUCAGCUGCGCCUCCAGCAUCACCUACACUGCUUCCUCUCUGCAACAUGGCAUUAACUGUAAGGUAUAGAAAACAUGUCACCAAACCUAAAGAGCUAUGGUAGGAUGGGUAUGGACCUGAGUAGCAAUCGAGUCAAGUUCAUCAAAGAAGAGGACACAGGGGGCAGACUGGCGAGCCUUGUCGAAGAUUUCACGGACAUUGGCUUCACUCUCACCAAACCACAUGGUCAGCAACUCAGGACCCUUGACACUGAUGAAGUUGGCCUGGCACUCAUUGGCAAUUGCCUUAGCCAACAAGGUCUUACCACAACCAGGAGGGCCAUAGAACAGAACCCCUUUGGAUGGAGACAUGCCAAACUUCUCGAACUUCUCUGGGUGCUCCACAGGGUAUUGAACAGUCUGCAUCAAUUGAGAAACGUUAUCAAAUUGCUGGUACACAACAAUAGCAAGAUCACAUUAUAAGGUCAAUUAGCAUCUAUUUACCUCCUGGAGCUCCCUCUUGACGUUAUCAAGCCCACCAAUAUCCUCCCAAGAGACAUUAGGAACUUCAACAACCUGAAUCCAGAAAGGGAAGUCAGCACCCAGAAAAGAGCAACUCAAACAAACAAUUAUGGACAGGGAACUCACAGUUUCACGAAGAGCAGAUGGGUUGCUUGUUCCAAGUGCAGUCUUGAAAUGGUCAUUUGUAACAGCCAUCGAGUUCAAUAUCUCAGCAUCAAUUGUCUCAUCCUCAAGAUCAAUGAUGUCCAUCUUCUCACGAAUGCACUGAAGAGCAGCCUCAGUGCAAAGAGCAGCAAGAUCAGCACCAACAUAUCCAUGGGUAUCCUUGGCAAUGAGUUCCAAAUUAACCUGGAAAUUACAGAAAAUGGACAUCAAACAAUGCUAGAAAAGAUAUUAUCACAGCCUAAAAUGCAAUUGAUCAUGAAUAAAAUGGGCACUUACAUCUUCAGCUAGUUUCAUGUUCUUAGUGUGAAUGCGGAGAACCUCAAGCCUUCCAACUUCAUCAGGAACACCGAUGUCAAUUUCCCGGUCAAACCUUCCAAAUCUUCGAAGAGCAGGAUCAAUGCUGUUUGGUCGGUUUGUAGCACCCAUAACAAUAACAUGGGAACGAGCUUUGAGUCCAUCCAUAAGAGUCAGUAGCUGUGACACAAUACGACGCUCCACUUCUCCAUUGGUCUUCUCUCUCUUGGGAGCAAUGGAAUCAAUUUCAUCAAUGAAAAUGAUAGAUGGAGCAUUCUUCUCUGCUUCUUCAAAUGCCUUCCUGAGAUUGCUCUCACUCUCUCCUGCUAGCUUUGACAUAAUCUCUGGGCCAUUGAUAAGGAAGAAAAAGGCUCCAGUCUCAUUUGCAACAGCACGAGCAAUAAGAGUCUUUCCAGAACCAGGUGGUCCAUACAGCAAUAUGCCCUUUGGUGGCUUCACACCAAUAGAUUUGAAAAGCUGAGGAUGGCGCAGUGGAAGCUCAACAAGCUCCCUGAUUUGGGCCAUCUGCUUCCUAACUCCACCAACGUCAUCAUAGCCAACUUCGUCAAGACGUUCCUCAUCCUCCCUCUUAAUAGGCUCUCCAUCACAAAAUAUUUCAGUAUCUGGUGCAACGAUGCAAUACUCAGCAGGGUCAGUCUCUAUCACUUUGAACUCCACACUUCGCAUUCCACCCCUGACAAGGAAAAGAUCGCCUUUCCUAACCGGGCGGUAUGCUUCCAGGAAGUAUGCUGCCGAAUUCCAUAAGAAGCGCAAUUGUUAGAAAAUGGUAGAACAGCAAUCAGGUUUAAUAUGACAUAACAAAACAAGAUAGGAACAUAUUAUAGCUACAGGUAGCCUAAAUGUUAGACAUUUCCCUGUUCAGAAUUCAGGAAACCUUUGACAACAGGAAAGAUACGAGCAGUGUUUCAAUUAAAAUUAUAGUUAAGUACAGUGUAGCCAUGCUUAAGGAACAGUGCAAGAUAAACUUGAUCAAGUAAGAACAAUAAUCACAAGAUCAGGAACUUACGUUUCAAGAAGGCAUCAAACAGGUUCCCUGUAAUGCCUUCAACUGUAUCAUCAAUUGGAAGAAUGUGUACACGCUUCCCAUAUUUCACAUCCUGGCACUGGUGGACAGAAACCACAUCACCAAGCCUCACCCUCAGGUUCUGGCGGACAACCUUGUUCAUCCGGACCUUCGGCUCCUCACAGGUUUCAUCCGCAAGGACAAUGCAAAUAGUGUCUUUCCUCUUCUUACCCUAUAUAAUGCAAAACAUAAGGUGAGAACUUGAAACAUGCCCUAAAAGUGGCAAUAUGGUUCACUAACAAACAUCUGGCAUCAACCUCUAGGAAGUAAAGAAACAAACUUACAAAAAGAUAGACAACUACCGAUUAAUCAUUAACCCAGGAAUACAGAAUUACAAGUAAAACCAUGACAUCCAAUUGCCUAUGAAUUAUGGGAUCUCCAUCCAACAGAAAAACAAGAAUCAAUUUGAAUAAAACUAUCGUAAGUUCCUCAGUCUUAACAAUUUAAGAUAUUCAUGCAAAAAGACUAGUUGCAUUUAAAUCUAGAACAGAUGUAUUACAAGAACAUGUUUGCAAAUAAGAAACAUCAUGUUGUCAAAUACCACUGAAGCAAAAAAAAAUGUAAAUUGCUACUACGUUUAAAUGAAGCAAUGUAGCAGGAAUGCAAAUUGACGAAAUUUAACCAUCUACACGACCAGAUGAAUCUACAGCAGCACAAACUCUACUACCCAAGCAUAACUGAAAUUCAGAAACAAAACAAUGAUUUUACACUUUACGGUGAUACAAGUUCCUUUUCCAAUAGAUCUGCAAUUUAAAUCUACUAAUCCCACUCCUCAAUUAAUCAUCGACACAUCGAUCCCGUGACAUAAACAAUCUGAUAAUCAGGUCAACAUCCGUAAGCAGUAAACGAGCUCAGAUUAGACAGUAAUCCCACCUUGAGGAGCACGGUGUCUCCGCGGAAGAGCUGCAGCCUCUCCAUGGUGUCCGGGUGCAGCGCGACGACGGAGUUGUCGUCGUUGGUGGCCUCGUCGACGACGAGGCGGUUGGGCGACUUCUUCCUCUCCAGGAUCGCCGUCGAGUAGUCCUUCUUCCCCUUCCUGCACACGCCAACACCGGUAAAACCACCAUCAAACAAAUCCCCAACCUCAGAAUCGCAAAAACACCGGUCAGAUCGGAGCCGGGGACCCCAAACCCUAGGGAAGUCCACCAGAUCGGAUCGGCCGGGGAAGGAUGGGAGGAAAGGGAGGCGGCGAGAUCUUACGGAUCGGAAGCGGAGGCCGACGGCUCCCCUUGGCUCGCCAUGUCGGCGGCUGCGGCGGCGGAGGUAGGUUUCGGGUUGUUGGCCGGCGGUGGCGUUAAUUGCAGCGGCAGCUGCGAGAGGAUGCGAGAUGUGGAGGAGCCGAGGGGGGGAUUAGCGUUCCUUUAUAGCUUCUUUCUUGCAGCGGGGGUUUGGGACUCGGAGGCCCGCGUCACCGAGUACGUCACUGACUCGAGGGCCCGGACCCGUGCUCGGCCCACCGGGCAGGGAACGUUCGGGAGACCUCUGGUGGUAGGGGUAAGUCUCCGAGCCGGAGCCGUCGCGGAUGGGGCGGAGGAAGGGGGAGGGGCCCAUGCCGACGUGUGGGGACCACGUGGAAGUGACCCGGGGGCGGGCGGGCGGGCGGGCGGUGACGGAGUGGAGGAGAAUAAGGGUGGAUCGUGCUCGUCGCGUGCGAGGUUGGAGAAGGGCAAGGAGAAGGGAAGAAGUUUGGUAUCGUUGACUCUGUAUCUUUUCCGAGUCUUGUAUCUGAAGACGAGGGGGAGUAGGAAAUGCAAACUGGAAUAAAAAAUCUUUAGGGUUCGGGAAAGAGUCCGGUCCUACCUUUGAAAAAAUAGGGAUUUUAGUACGAGUCCUGGGCGGUUUACAGUAAUAUAUUCAUCUUUUUUUGAAAAAAAUUCAACUUCAAAUACUCUGUCAGUUUCAUUCGGAGUUCCAUGCACACCUCACACUUCGCUACAUGGAUUGAUGUUUAGGGACCAGGCACCAGUGGAGCAUAGACUAGGACUCCUCACCAAAUGGAAGGUGACAGAUCGAUUUUAAAUUAAGCCUGCUUGUAAGUGGAACUUUGAGGAGCUUUCUAUCUAGAGCAAGCGAAAUUAUAAAUCUCUGGUUUCAUGAAAAAGGAAAGAUAUAUAGGGAUAAAGAACAGAGAAUACAUCAGCCUUUCAAGUCAGACUUCGGAAUGUGAAGGGAGGCUCUUGGUUCAAGUCACGCUUGAUCUAGCUUUGUUGCCACAUGUUACGGAGCCUAGAGACAUGGCACAUGUGUAAGAAGUGAAGAGGGACUCCCACCAACCAAGUGUUGAUGAGUUAUUUGUCUAAAAAAAAUGUCUAUGUUGUUUUUGGACUUAGGCCACAAAUUUGAACCGGUAGCCGAUGUGCGAGCCUAAGGGGGUGUUUGGGAGGAGGGGCUAAAUUUUAGGCCCCGUCACAUCGAAUGUUUAACACUAAUUAGGAGUAUUAAACCUAGACUAAUUACAAAACUAAUUACACAACCCCUAGGCUAAAUCGCGAGACGAAUCUAUUAAACCUAAUUAGUUCAUGAUUUGACAAUAUGGUGCUACAGUAACCAUUCAUUAAUGAUGGAUUAAUUAGGCUUAAUAGAUUCGUCUCGCGAUUUAGCCUAGGGGUUCUGCAAUUAGUUUUGUAAUUAGCUUAUGUUUAGUUCUCCUAAUUAGUAUCCGAACAUCCGAUGUGACAGGGCUAAAGUUUAGCCCCCUCCUCCCAAAGACCCCCUAAGGAGGCAAUCGCCUCUUGCACAACCGAGGGUCCAUUUAGAUGGACUAAAACUAAAGUUUAGCAUUGUCUAAAGUUUAGAAGUCUAAAUUUUAGUAGCAUAAAAUUGACCCUAUCUUGUUUAAAGUUAGAGCUAUUUUUUAGCUCAUUUAUUGAUAAAAGUCCAUGUUAUCCUUAUGGGGUGCAGGUGAAAAAAUGUAGGGUUUUAGUUGAUGGUAUUUUUGUAUUUUGCCAUUCGUGUCUAAAAUCAGUUGGUUUUCGAAGGCUAAUGAACUAAAGUUUAGUUGGGUGGUUGGCUAAUUUUAGCCUAUAUUUAGCCCCACUAUUUGGAUCAUUAGGGGUUAAUUUUUAGCCGACUAAAGUUUAGCCCCUAUAUCCAAACAGGACUAACUAAAUUCUUUUUGAAAAAAAAUAAUCACACACACAUACAUAUUGAUCUCUAUGAACAGAUACAUGCACAUCUGUAGGCACCUCCAAGAAACUAUACCGGCAAAUCUUGAUGUUUUUGAGCUUUCGUUCCUCUCCAAUCUCCACUAUCAUAAUCAAGUAGUUAGAGUUACAUCGCUCAAAGAUUGCUGCCCUACGGUAGGGUCUGCUACCGAACCGGCUCUCAACACGUGUCUAUAUCUCUUCACAGACUGGUGCUCGGUCAACGCAUGUCUACUAGUGCUCGAUCAAUGAGUGUCUACAUUUGGCAAAUUGCGUAGUCUUUACGUGUGAGAAAAAUACUUCAUCCUUGCCCGCGGAACAAAUCGUCUCCGCCUGGUCAUGUCUUGCCUUUGCUCACAGCCCCUCCCUCGCAGCCGUCGCCUUCUCCUUCGGCUUCGGCUUCGGCAUCGACGUACUUCAGUCGAACAUCUAUGCUCUGUCAGUUCCAUGCCAUGGGAAACAUGUGUCCGGGGCGUUCUUCCCUGCGAAGAAAUUGGCAUGGCACACAGCUAUGCCAACUUCUCCCCUCGCCAUGUGCGCCUCCACCAGCUUCGUUGAUGCCCCACGACGAAAUCGAGGAGCCAGCACGCGUUCCAGCCCACUUCCUCCCGUUCACCUACAGCCACCUCUUCUCCUCGCCAUGGGUUCAACGGUGGUGUUCCAGCCCUCUGCAUAUUUUUCAAUUUGUGCCGCUGCAAUGGAGUUCACAAUUUGUGCCACUGCAAUGGAGUUCAGCAGUAAUUUUCAAUCUCUUUUAAACGAUGCAGCAUACUUCACAAUCACGUCUCAACUACUCGCCUUAGCCUUCCUGUGAGCCAGGGUACAUGCCUUUUGUAUUUUAAAAGUAAGUUGUUUUACAAAUUAGAGCAUGAGAACAAUAGAUUCCAAGUCAUUCACAGUAGGGCAUUGCAUUAGUCUUAUGUCUUACGCUCAUGUCAACAUGUGCUGUUAGCUACAGCCAAGGUCUACGUGAACCUUUGCUUCAAUAUUGCCUCUAUAGAUGAUGUUCAAAAUUAAAAUAAUAUUGUGUAGUACAUUUACCAUGUUGCCAACUUGCUAAUUACCCAGCGUCGUUGUCAACAUUGACAUUUCCGAUUACUGAAAUUCAUGUAACAAGUUGCCAAGCAGAAGCAGGCGCGGCAAAGCGCGCCUCUCUUCCUAGUUUCAAAUGUUUGUCCAUGCACCACCCAUCUCUGCCAUUCCACUCUGCUGCGCCGGUAAAAAAGCCAAGCAUCUAUUAGAAUUAGACUGGCUACAAUUGAGUGGCACUAUCACCGUCACCCGUCAUGGGCUGCGACUAUCAUUGGACAUUGGCGGUCCCAUUGCUCAGAAUCCGUGCCCAGGCCCAACCCAAGCGAGCAUUAUUUUUUCAGAGGGGGUUCCGGCAGGCAAGAUAUUAGUCUGAACAAUUAUAUUGGUAUGCGAAGUUUUGCGUACAUGAUUUAAGAAGUGGGAGGGAGGAAGGAUAUGGUCUCUAUGUCACAUUACAUAAUUGAUUACUCCACAACUGAACGCGACUAGAAGCGGGCAUAGCGUACCUCCUCUAGUGAAACGGUCCGUCAUAUUUCACUCGUCUAGGAGGCCAAUGCUAUUUAAGAUAAAAACGACAGUGUUUUUUUUGAGUAAAAACGAUAAUAUUAGAAUGGCUUUAGGGGAUGCACCACUAGAGGGGUGGAGGACCGUGCUGUUUUCCUAUGAAAAUUAACGUUUCUUUGAAAGGACAUGCAACUGGGCCAAAUUUCUUUCAGAGAAUGUGCACUGGUACUGUCUUUGGGCCAACCCACCAGUAAAGUGAAGUAGCACCUAAUGAUGAUUUGUGUGUGCGCUUUUUGCCACUUUCGGCCCAGUUUCAUACUUUUCCCCCUUCCUCUGCUCGUGGAAGAAGCCUACAUCACCCUCCUAACGUAUCAUAAAUUGACCACAUCACCCCUCCGGAUGUUUAACCCAUCAACCUACGUAAAACCGUUUAAAUGACGCCUGAGAUGAUUUUACAUAGCGGUCACGCUGAGGUGUACCGAGAUGCUGACGUGGACGUGAGCUCCGCUUGUAAGUUACCAGGUCAGGAUCCUCUCUCUUCUGAUCUUCUUCUGCCCCUAUCUCCCAUAGCCGCUCCGGCGCUCCAUUCAACCUGCACGUCGUCCUUGAGCAGCGGGAGCCCGGAGAUGAUGUCGUCCUUGAGCAGCAGAUUCGGGCGUGGGCACAACUGGUAGCUGCUGGAUUUGGUGCCGAAGGUCAGGGCACCCUUGCUGGAUCCAUCUCCACCCCGCGCCCCCAUUUCGUCACCUUCUCCACCUCGUCCAUAAGCUCCGUCGAAAUCAAUGGCACGAUGAGCGAAAUCAAUGACGGGUCGAGUGAAAUUGUCAUUGGGUCAAGGAAAAUCGACCGUGGUGCGGACAAACUCGAGACCGCGUGCCUCGAGGUCGGGCGCGGCCGGAUCUGCCGGUGAGCACCUGGCAGGUCGAUCGAGGCCAAUGACCUGUGCAUGGUUGGAGUGCAAAGCAGCCCCAGGUUUCUAGGGAGGCAUGCGUGCAGGUGCUGGUGGAGUCGGAGAACUAGAGAAUGGGGGAACUGUUGCGCUUGUCACUUGUGGCCGAGAAGAACGGAGGCCGGCGACCGGCCGGCGACGCUCGCGGUCUCGCGGUGAGGAUAAGAACGAAAGGGGCAGCUUGAUUUUUUUCUAGUACUCACGAGUUCAACGGGUCCUGCAGAAAUAAAAACAGUUUAGACCUUGUUUGGGAGGAGGGGUUAAAAUUUAGCCCUGGGCUAAAGUUUAGCCCCCUCAAAUAGAGUGCUAAAUUUUAGCACUUUGGGGUGUUUGGGUGGGAGGCUAAACUUUAGCACUUUGCUUGACAAAAGACAUUAAUACCCCUUGUUUCCCUCCUCCUAGCUAGCGUCAGGGGCAAGUGUAGUGGCGGGGGGAGUGCCAGACGGGCUUGAGAGCUGGGCGCGGGCAGAGGCUGAGCUCCUGGUGCCGGGUGGGGAAUGUCGGUAAGGGGUCCCCCGAGUGGAGCGCGGCGAAGGAGCGGGAGAGGUUGCCGAGCGUGGUCCGCUUGGGCGGCGGCGGGAGCGGCGGCACGACCUUGCAGAUGCCGAAGGGGGCCGCGGCGGGCUCGAUCUUGAGGAGGUAGGUAAUGGGGUCGGCGAACUCGGCCGUGGUGGGGCGGAACUCGGGCGUCAGCGGGAGGGACUUGAGCCACGGGGGCACCAGCUCCCCCUGCGCCGACGGCAUGGCGGCGGCUGGCGCCGUCCCCUCCAUCGAUCUCACUCCUUGGCACCGUUGAUCCAGCUUUGGGAGGGGAACGGGAACGGGGGGAGUGAAGUGGAGAGGGAAGGCGGCGGUGGCGGGGUCAGCGAGGCGAGGCGGAGCUGAGCGAGGAUCCGGCGGCGGCGGCGGCUGGGUCGGGCGGAGGCGAGGCGAGGCGGGGGGCGGUGGAGAUGGCCAGAGGCGGAGGCGGCGGGGCUGGCCGGAGGCGGCGGGAUCGGCGUGGCGGGGCCAGAGGCGGCGAGACCGGCGGGCGAGGUGGAGGCGGUGGGGAGGAGUGAGAGGGAGGAGAGAGAGAGGGGCAAGGGGAGGAAUUUUGGACAAGGGGGACCACUUUUAGCCCCUUUAGUCCAUUUUAGGUGGUGUUUGGAUCCAAAGUUGAUGGGCUAAAGUUUAGUCCGCACCUAAAGUUUAGUCCUUGUGGGGUGUUUGGAUCCAUGAGCUAAAAUUUAGUCUUCCUUGAGGUAAUGACUGAUUACCCUCAUUUAUUGAUUCAAACAACAUGCAUGUCUCAAAUUCACUCCAUGCACAUGCACAUGCACGCCCAUGCACAUGCACACCUGAAAAAACAACUUGCUCAUGGAUAAUGACUCUGAACUUGCUCCGGCCAGGCACAUGCAAGCCUGAAGAUACACAUGCACCUGUAUCUGUGCAUUAUUCCGGCCAUGCAUAGGUGCCGGCCAGGAGGAACACGCUGCUGUUCCUUCUGGACAUUCAAUAGUUUUUAUUCGUUCAAUUACAUCAUCGUUCAAGCAUACAACUCCGUAGUCCUAGGCAAUACAAGAAAUCAAAUACUCUACGAUCUAUUAUACAAACUUGAGGCUAUUUGAUCACGGAAUGCAUUCAUAUUUGUAUCUUCGUCCCUUGAUUGAGUACUUUGUGUUGGGGGUUGAGAGGUUGAUGCUUCAUGAGGAACAUAGUUCUCAUCACGGUCACAACGAUCAAAGUCUUCAUCCUCCAUAUGACUCUCUCUAAUAAAGUUAUGAAGUGCCAUACAUACAACAAUUAUCUGGCUUUGCUUUGGCAUUGGAUAACUUGGCACUUUCAACAAAAUCCGCCACUUCAUCUUAAGAACUCCAAAUGACCUCUCGACGCAAUUCCUAAGAGAUGAAUGAGCGAAAUUAAAGGUCUCUUUCAUACCUUUGGGCAUCGGCCCCUGCCUAAACUCUGGAAGAUGGUACUUCGUUCCCUUGUAAGGUGCAAGAUAACCAGGCCGAUUGGGGUAUCCAGAGUCCACUAGGUAAAACUUCCCUGCAAAUACGAACAUUAUUGUUACAAACAAAAGCUACAACCAAAGUGGCUUAUGUACUGAAUGUGCAAACAUAGGCAUAACAUACCAGGAGGGGGAUGUGGGAACUUGUCUUUGUACUUGACUGUUGCAUCAUUGAAAACUCUCAUAUCAUGUACUGAACCAGGCCAGCCCGCAAGAACAAAUGUGAACCUCAAGUCAAAGUCACAGACCGCAAGCACAUUCUGUGUAGUGAAGCCCUUUCGACAAAGAUGUUGCACCACCUUAUUAUUUGGCACGAGAACUGGUAUAUGAGUGCCAUCUAUUGCUCCUAUACAAUUAUUGAAGUGUGGAUAGAAUCUAGGAUUCUGUAACCUACGCUGCAUUGUUCUAAAUUCAGGGUCCACCGGCUUAAUUAUGUCAGCUGCUAGCUUUAUAAUACACUUCAAAACUUUGUAAAAAUUGCGGUGAACUGUAUCUAAUGAUCUCUCUAAUCUGUUCUCGGCUUGUCUGACUGACUGAGGUGCACCAACCAUCCAAAGAAAUAUUCCUAAGGCCCAUACUAAAGAGCUCUUUGAUGUGGACUUUAGGCUAUAAGAUUGCACCAAUAGAUCAUGCAGACGAUCAAACAAUUCUCUACUCAUUCUAAACAUGUCAUAGCAUUGGACACUAUCUGUUAGAUUCCUCAUCACCCAAUCAUGGCCACUUUCAACCUGUUGGAGGUAUGCCCUAGAGACAAUCAUAGAGAUGAUGAUAUUCCAUUUGUAUCCAUGAUUUAUAUUGUGUUCAUUGAAUAUCCAUUAAAGGCUACUUGAAUUGAUUUGCAAUUAUGCGCAUUGUGUGUGAAACUCUUUACUUGUAUGGUUAUUCUAAAGUUGUCCCUAGUCGGAGUUCAUGUGAGGACACACAUGAAUAUUAGACUAGCACAUGUAUUAGUUGAUGACUAUGUUUCACAAGUCAUGGACAUGGAGAUGUUGAACUAAUAAUGUGGGCACAUGUGGAGACAUGUGCUAGGACUGACCCAACACGAGAAGUAGUUCUCUCUUUAAACAACAUAUACGCUUUGUCCUUAGACCUGAGAUUGUCGCAUGUAUUCAAGAUGUGGAUCGACCUACUUAGGGGCUAUCAAACGCUACGCCGUAACAGGGUAGUUAUAAAGGUAGCUUUCGGGUUUGUCAAGAAGCAUGCUGUGAGAUAUGGUCAAUCAAGAUGGGAUUUGCCCCUCUCUGAUUGAGAGUGAUAUCUCUGGACCCCUCGAGUGAUCGGAUCCGAAAAUGCAUGGCCAUGCUACAUACAGUUAAGAGUUAACCUACAAAGGGAUUCCAAAUCACAGGAUCGAGAAAGAGCGGUCGGCUUGGAGCUAGACCAAAUAUCGUGAGGCAAAGGGAAUAGCAUGUAAAUAAUGUUGUGAUGGUUCGUCUGAUAUGAUCUUCGUGUGCGUAUAGGAGUUGACAGGUCUUGCUAGAGGUCGCUACCGACUAUUGGGCCGAGUAGGAGUACUCGGGCCAUGUCUAUACGUAUCCGAACCCAUAGGGUCACACACUUAAGGGGCUGGAAGCCCAAUUCGGAUGUGAUCCGAGUUGGAUUAGGUUUAGAAGUACUAAUGGGCCUCGGACCCAGAGGCCCGUUAGGAACCUCUAUAAAUAGAGGGGUGGGGGCGCCCUAGGGUUUACACCUUUUUGGCGAAACACAUCUGCCGCGCCUCCCACGCCCUCGCCUGUUGCAACUCACGGAUCUAGCAGUCUGGCUUGCGACGCUUCCUCCCUGCACGUGUGGAUACCUUGGAGGUGUUGCGCCUGCAGCACUUGGACGAGCCGCCGACGAGCCACGACGAGCCGCCGACGAGCCGCGGCACGAGGGAGAUCUUGCUGCACGUGGACGAGCUGCUGAGGAGCUGCUGAACGUCGACGUGAUCGACUACGUAUGACUACGCUGAUCCACUUCGCUGCAUCGACGCGAAUCUACAUCUUCCGCACCAGUAGUGCGUCGAGUGGUAAUCCCGUGAUCCUUAUACGGCAGUUUUUCUGGUUUACGCGGUAGAAAAUUUUGUUUUUGCACUAGUGUAGCCUACCUCGUAUCCCAACACAACCAUAUUUCUCUUCUUAGCUUUAUUGAAGUAAGUGUCAUUGUACGUACCAAACAAAAGUAGAUCCUCCGUGAACUGCCUUUCAUAGUCACUGUCCUCAAUAAUAAGCUUGAAGAGCUCAUCGUCACUUGAGUCACUGUCCACAUCCAUAUCUUGAGACAUAAUACAAAAUUGCAAUCAGUUAAAUUUAAUUGUAUGACCACAUAAACUUCAAUCCAAAUUCAAAUCAACUAACAGAUACACUUCAAACCAAAUUCAAAUCAACCAACACAUACACUUCAAAUCAAUUUCAAAUCAACCAACACAUUCAUUUCAACCCAAACAGUUCAAGCAUAUUCAUUUCAGCACAAACAGUUCAAACAAAUUUAUUUCAAACCUAACUUCAAUUAGUACAGACAGUUCAAGUCCACACAAAUGCAUCAUCACAAAGACAUAAUCCUAAUCUAGGUUGUGCUGCUUGCAAUAUCUCUUCAAGAAGGUCAGCCUUCCUUCUGUUGUAGAUAUGUUAAUGAAGAACUCCCUCAUUGCAUCAUUUAAGUAGAUCUAAGAAACAGUAUAGUACUCAGUACUAGUUUCAUCCACCCCACACUCUAAAACCAAUUUCUGAGCCUGCUUAAUGGCGUUGGACAACUUCGUUCCCUUGUCUUGCCUAUUACAAACAGCUUGCUUGAUAUACUCAUUCCUUUCAGCUUGCUGCUUAGAAGAGAAACUAAUGUAAUCCUUCAUCAUUUUGACCAUUGGGCUUUUGGUCUUCUUGCUUGGACUUGAUGCUGUUGUGCUGGUACUACUUGUUCUCUUGCGGCUGCUUGUACUCAUAGGACUGUGUGCAUUAUCUGGAGGCAUCUCUUGCUCAGGCUCUUCAUGCUCUUCAGGCUCUUCAGGCUCUUCAGGUUCCGUGGCUGUUUGAUCAUCUGUAAUGCUGUAUCCUACCACAAAAGAACCUCAACCAUCCACAACUACACCAUCAAAUAUACGUUCAAGCAGUGGUAGAUACUCUGGAGGUCCAUACAUUAGUUUCAUCCAUUCUGGAUGUUUCUGCACAUGUAGUAGGUGAAGUUAGAUUGCAAUCAGAUGGUUCCUUGCAGCUUGCACAUAUAAUAGAUCAACAAAUACCUUUGUUGCAGUCUCCCACCACUCCAAGGUUGCAGUAGGCCACCCAUUUUCAUCACGGCCUAAGCCACUGUCGGAAUGGAUGUCUUUUAUGAACUGUUACAUUCCCUUGAGCUGCCUAAUCCUAUUAGCUAUCUGUUUCCUAUCAUGCCUCAGCCCUGAACCGCAGUAAUACUUUUCUAUGAUGAGCUUAUACCCUCUUGCUGUCAUAGUCUCUUUGAUGUAGUUACCCAUUUCAAUUUGAUCAACGAGUAAUUGACACAACAAGUUGUUAUUCUGCUCUGAUGACCAACUUCCUCUGUCAAAUUUAUUCUACCAUAUGCAUCACAAGAACAAAUACCUUUGUUGCAGUCUCCCACCACUCCAAGGUUGCAGUAGGCCACCCAUUUUCAUCACGGCCUAAGCCACUGUCGGAAUGGAUGUCUUUUAUGAACUGUUACAUUCCCUUGAGCUGCCUAAUCCUAUUAGCUAUCUGUUUCCUAUCAUGCCUCAACCCUGAACCGCAGUAAUACUUUUCUAUGAUGAGCUUAUACCCUCUUGCUGUCAUAGUCCCUUUGAUGUAGUUACCCAUUUCAAUUUGAUCAACGAGUAAUUGACACAACAAGUUGUUAUUCUGCUCUGAUGACCAACUUCCUCUGUCAAAUUUAUUCUACCAUAUGCAUCACAAGAACAAUUAUUUCAUAUUACUCUAACAGCAGUACUGAAUUCAUGCACUUCUCUUAGAUCAAAGGACAUGGGACUCAUACCUGACGGCUUGGAAAAACUUCUUCGACUGCAUUGUCGUCAAUGUCAUCGUCGUCGUUGCCUUGCCAUUCAACACGUCGACCUGAGCCACGGCCUACGGAUGCACCAGGCGCCGCCGAAGAAGCUCCACGCAUCCCACGGCCGGCGGCGGGAACAGGUGGCAACCGACCGCGGCGGUCGCGACUGGAUGGCGAUGAAUUGCCGCGGCCUGCUACGGCUCCGCCACAGCUCCGAGUACUGCAUAAACCGAGUGUGCGAGAGCUACCUCUUCUGCCACUACGCGGUUGAGAGGGAUGAGGCCCCGUGCUCUCGGAUGCCGCCAGUGCGCCGGAUUGCAAGAUCCCCUGAUAAGCCGCCAUCGACGACCAGUCAUUCGCCUACGAGUUGAGGUCGAGUGCCUCAAUGCCAAUCCGGGGACCAUUGAUGGAUCCCGACCCCGGAUACUGGCUCCCCUCGCCGGCGUAGAGGUCGAAGUUGCCGGAGAAGAAGUCCCUAGUGCCGUCGUCGCCGAAUUCGUCCAUCGGCGGCGUGCGGAUGUGAAACUUGUAGCUUGUAGGCGGUUGAGGUACUCCGGCCACUGGUGUGGCGAAGGGAAGGGGACGGGAUGUAGAUCUGGUGAGAGGGGCGGCGGCGGACGAACUCAGGAGAGAGGGGUGGCGGCGGCGAUGCGGGAGCGUGUCAGAGGAAGGGGAGGCGGAGGGAGUCGGGCGAUAGGGGGGACACGGUGUAGAUCUGGUGAGAGGGGCGUCGAGAGGGGUGGCGGCGGACGAACUCAGGAGAGAGGGGUGGCGGCGGCGAUGCGAGAGGAAGGGGAGCGGCGGGGAAUUGGGCGAGACGGGCGACGGCGGUGGAGUGGAGAUCUGGUGAGCGGGGCGGCGCAAGGGGUGUGCGAGAGCUGGCGGUGGACUGCGCGGAGGAGGGAUAUGCGGAUGAGGGCGAUGGGCAGGUGCGAAUGAGGGUGAGGGGUGCGUGCCUAGGGUGCUGUGUGAGGGGAGGGGUAUGGAGUGUCCAGGAUCACUUUUAGCCCCUUUUAGGGCCUCUUUGGGGCUAAAAUUUAGCUCCAAAAUUUUAGCUAUUUGUCACUUUUAGCCCUCCUGUUUGGAUCCUAAGAGCUAAAUUUUGAGCUAAAAGUGCAAGACUAAAAUUUAGUCCAUGGAUCCAAAUAGGCUCUUAGCACCCCUUGAGGGGCUAAUGGAUUAUGGGGGGCUAAAAUUUAGCCUCUCCAUUUUAAUCUAGAUGUUUGGAGCACUAGUGGCUAAAAGUAACUAAAAUGGGGAUGCUAAAAUUUAGCACCCCUCUCCUAAACACCCCCUUAGAACUUACGGAGAUCAGCUGUUUUAUCGCUUACAAGCAGGGCCUAUGUAUCAAACAGUCUACGUCAGCAUUUCAUUCCAUCUCAUCAUGCCAAUAUGGCAAAAUCACUAUGCAAACUACCUUUAUUUAAACGGUUUUACGUAGGUGGGGAGUUAAACAUCCGAUUUUGUACUUGAAUACGUUAGGGGUUAGGCACGUUCCGAUUCGGGAGGUUCCGCGGCAGCGACAGCACCGGCAGUUACAUGGAUACGCCGGGAUGCAGCCGUAUCGCGUAUAGACGGCAAGGAUACGUGCGAAAUACGUAUCAGGAAGUAUCGCACGAAAAAAUAAAUUAAUAAAUAACCGAUACGCCUCAUCGGUACGUAUGGGGUGAUUUCAAUACGGCCCAGCCCAGUAACGAAUCUUUCCCUGCCUUACCCCUUGCAUGCGCCCCCUCCCCCAACGACCCCCUCCACUUCGUCCAGACGCAUCGCGCCGCCGCCGGCUCGCCGCUUGUGCGCCGCCGCUCGCCGGCGAUAGAUCUCCGCCAGAACGCCACGCACGGCCACACACCCGCAAGGCUGCCGUCCGCGACGACCUGCAUAUCUGACGAGCUCGCCAAGAACUGAAGAAGACAAGCUCCGUGACCGGUGACUCUUUCGGGCUUCGGCUCAGCGGCAGGUCGGUGAACUCCGGUGAGUUGUUCCCCUUUGCCUUUUUCAUUGGCCGGUCGGCCCUUGCCUUCCCAUUCCCGAUCGACAAUUCUUGAUGCUUCGUUGUUCCAUUUUCCCAAUCUGCUUCUUGAUCUCCACGAGUAGAUGGCAGCAACAAAUUUGAGCAGUUCGAGCAGUGCUAGUGCUACUGCUAGUGGUAGCAUAAGUUAUGUGGGGACGACUGACAUCAGAGCUCCUCUAUGGGAUCAUGUCACCAUUCUAUAGAGGAGAAUGAAGCACUUGAAGAGGAAGCUUUGCCAAAGCCAAUAGCCAUCAAUGAAUUGCAAGCUGCCCUUUUAAAAUUUCCUAAAUUUGAGACUGUUUUCAUGUUUAUUUGUGACUUUGUUAUGUACUCGAACCUUUGUUUCCUACUAUUUGACUAUGUUGGAUUUGUGUUUACUGUUGUGAAGUUGCUAUGCAUCUAUAUUUAUUUAUAUUAAAAAAAUUACUGAAACGUAUACGCGUAUCAUGUUUUUUUGAAAAAUGCUGUAUGCGCACAUCGGUAGCACUGGUGGAAAACAUGUAUUUAGUCCCGGUUGGAUAGGGGCAUAGAUCUCGAAAAUCCAACCGGGACUAAAUUUUUGAGGAAAAAGGAGGUCCUUUAGUCCCGGAUCAUUCACCCGGGACUAAAGACCUCCUUUAGUCCCGGUUGGUUUUAGCAAUCGGGAUCGGGAUAAAACGGUUAAAAAAAAGUCGUGCGCCGCCCGCGUCGGCCACCGGCCGCUCGCCUGCACCGGCCCCGCGGGAGAGGGAGGGCCAGGGAGGGGGCGGCGGCAGGAGAGGGAGGGCCGGGGGAGGGAGGGGAGGGGGUGGCGGCGGCGGGCGGGAGGGAGAGAGCCAAGAGGGAGAGGAGGAAGAUAAGGGAAGUUGGGAGAGAGAAGGGUAAGCUAAGGGAGAGGAGUAAAAAUAAGGUGGAGGCCGGGAGAGAGAGGGGAGCGCGUGCGCGUUUUGUCCCGGUUGGUGGGACUAAAGGCCCCCUUUUAGUCCCUGUUAGUAAUUUCAACCGGGACUAGAGGUGGGGCUUCAGUCCCGGUUGGUGUUUCCAACCGGGACAAAACGUCCCCUCGUCCCACUAGCUGUUACAAUCGGGACUUUAGUCCCAGUUGAUUUUUACAACCGGGAUUAAAGCUUCCCCGGUCGGUAGUUUUUGGUGGCUCAUUUUUGACUCAGGAUUAAAGGUACUUUAGUCUCAGAUUCAAAGUCAACCGGAAAAAAAAACUCUUGAAUGUAACGUAAGGUCAGUUCUCUGCUUGUGUAUCCGCCGACAGCAUAACCGGCACGGCGCUACUCCGAUCCUCUCCAUGACUCCAUCCGUCAAGACCGUGCCGAGCCCGCUCAUUUUCGACCGCAAUUAGGGCAAGUACAUUGGUGUCGUCUAAUAGGCGGACUCAUGCAUUGACACGUAAUCUUGAGACGAUUCAACAGGCAACCCGUACAAUGGGUUGUCAUAUAAGUUAUUUGGUAGUGGUAUAUAAUUUCUUAAUUUGUGCAUAAGAAAAAUAAAAUAUUAUGAGUUGCAUGGCAACAAUAACUCGUACAAUGGUUGUUAAGUUGUCUCGUAGUCCUACAAUUUAGCUCAUGAGGUGGUUGUUUCGCAAAGCAACGACCUCUUUCUCUUUCCUCACUCUCUCUCCUCCACAUCAUCAAAAAUUCUACGUGGUACUGCAUGAGACGACCUAUAAGACCGCUAACGUGUAGCAAUGUACCCCUUACGCUGUCGACGGCGGAUUCGUCCUCCGACCCGCGCGCGUCCGUGGCCCGUCUGGCCGCUGUCUGCUUGGCGCGAUGCCUGGAAUCGGCGUGGCUCCAAAUCGUAGGCGCGCGCGCGGGCAGAGCAACCGAACAAAUAGACACGUGUGCGUCCUUGCUGACUCACCUCAUGUACAGACUUACUAAACGGUGAGGACCGCAGACGUCCGUGCAUCACUACGAGCCGGUGCGCGAUGGCUUCCCGCCGGUGCGCGUUCGACCGCGGUCGCUGAACCACGGACUGUUCAUGGAGGGCGUCCUGCACGUACGUGUUCCCCGGUGGCGGCCCACGCGUCGAGGAGCUUCCAUGCCGCGUCGUCGUCGACCCGGCCACGACGACAUGCCUCGUCACCGACACCUUAGCUUGCUCGUGUGGUCCUCGACGCUGGCAUGGAGCUCGGCGUCCCGUGCCGCCGUACGUGUCGUUCUCUGGAGGGAGCCCGCGCGCUCGCCUUCUCCUUGCACUACCACAUGGACCUUUUUGGCUAGACGUGCAUGGCCACUUUGAAUGCGAAGUAAAUACUUACUACACAGCAUGCAGCACAGGCCGUCGCUACUACAAACUUUCCAAGGCGGUUCAAAUCGCGAGCCGACUAUAACGAUGGCGCGCUUCGACUCAGGUCAUAAUUAAGCCGCGUGAGGUCUUGUUCGGUUCUCUCGGAACCUCUCAGAACAAGAUCUAUUCCACACGGAUUGAUAUGACCUCGUUUAAAUUCCAGCCUAAUACAAAAUGAUCGUUCGCUUCAAACCGGAAUAGAGCAUGCAUUGAUUGUAUUUCAGCUCGUUUUAGUUAUUCCGACCUCGUAGCGAUCCGGAAUCAAUCUCCAUAUCUUGACCUCCGAACGAAACCCUUCAGGAUCAAGUGACACAACCGGAACCACUUAUUCCCCUCCAGGAGCGAAUCCAUUCCAUGAUUCGAUCCUAAACAACCGAACAAGGCCUGAGUGAUUCCUGAAGGAAACCGGCUGAGAUCAUCGAAGAUUGUCCAAAGACCGUUGCAGAAAUCACGACGACCUAAGAGGUAGACUCAAGACACUAGAAACUCGAUGGACAAGACAAUCCCCUAUGAUGAGAGAUUGUCGCCGACUAAAAGACCAUUGAGACAUAUUACAACAGCGCCGACGAGUAAUGCUUGAAGCCUAGAAUUAGAGCCCAUUUGGUGAAGCUCCAUCCAGCUUCACCUUCACGUGACACCAGUACUAUCGCGUCAGAGGAGCUGGAGCUAGCGAAAGCUAAAUUUGUAGCUCCUUCAGCUCCCCUGCAUCGGUUUUCGUUUUGCCUCCUUGCUACAAUAGUAAAUAGUACAUGUACAAUGUUUGUGUCAGGUGGAGCCGGAGUCAUAUAAAGCUCCACCUCCAUCAAAGAGUCCCUUAGGGGGUGUUUGGCAGCACUCCAUUCCAAAAAAACUACUAUACUCCAUCAGCUCCACAAAACUUCCUGCCAAACGCAUCCAGCUCCACAAACUUCAGCUCCACAAAAAACGUGGAGCUAGGGGUCUGUCGGUGUCCUAUACUCGGCAACCUAUCGAGGGGUAUCCUGAGGUAGUAGAUUGGUUGGUGGGGAAUCGUCGGACCUGGAACUCGAAGGUAAAAGUGAGGACACAAGACAUGGAUUUAUACAGGUUCGGACCACCAGAGUAGCGUAAUACCAUACGUCCUAUCUUGGGUGUUGUAUAUUGCGCCUUGCGCAUGGUGUUGUGUAGCCUAAUUGUCGGCUAUUGAUGAUGGUUCUGAGCUACCGAUCUAGGUACCCCUGCCCUCCUUUAUAUACUCCAGGGGGUAGGAUUACUAGUCGGUUACAAGAAGGAGUCCUAGUAGGAUUACAUGGUACAAGUUCUAUUAGGAUUGCAGAGAAAUCCUAGUAGGAGUUUGUCUUCUUUCUUCCUUGCGGGUACUGUGGAUCUAUCCUCGACAGGGUCAGAUCCACGUUUUUCCUGGAGUAUCUAGGGGGUGCUCCAAAAACAUCAAUUUCAAACUUCUCGUGGAGCUGGGGGUUAUUUACCCACCUUUUCCAGUCGUUACACAACAUACCGGUUCGUUUCUAAUUUUCCUUGCCGCUCAUUGUCUCCGUUUCCUUCCUCAUAGCCCACGUGCUACCCCUCCACCGUCACCCGUUGGCGCCGCGCCACCCUCGCCUGUCGACGCUGCGCUGCCCACGCGACUCUCGCCCAUUGGAGCUGUGGUACCCACACUGCCGUCGCCUGCCGGAGCCGCGCGACCCUCAUCCGUGGGUGACGCGCUAGACCGCGCCUCCCUCAGCUGCGGCCACACUGCCCCUACCCGCGUCGGCCACGCGGCGCCUGCUCGUCGGACCUCGCCGCCCCUCCCACUGGGGCCGUGAGGCUGUGCCCUCCAGCCGGUCAGAGCUGCACCGCUAUUGCCGUGCUGCCCCCGCCCGCUGGACCCGCGCCGCCAGGGCCAUACCAGCCCCACCUGCCGGAGCCGUGCCACCCCCGUCGGCUGGAGCACGGUGCCAUUGUGGCGCCCGCAGGACGAUGCGUCGCUGUUGCCUGUGAGGCAGCCUCGCCCCCUUGCUAGCCAACCCAAGGAGAGGGAGAGGGAGCAACGAGGUGGGGUGGAGAUGGAUGGCGCCAGCAGAAGAUACAACGAGGAGGCAUGCCAGCAAACGAGAGAGAAAGGGAGAAAUAAAGAGAAACUGACACGCAUGCCCGUUCACAAGGGUAUAAUAGACUUUUCACAACAAGCCUACUGUUUCUAGAGCUGGAUCUGUGCAACUUGCCAAACAUGUGGAUAGCUCCAGUAUUUUUUGAAGUUGGUAGAAUGAAGCUGAGGUGGAGUGAAGUUGGUAGAGUGGAGCUAUAAAAUUUGAAGUGAAGUAUUGCCAAACACCCCUUUAGUAUCCCCUGUAUCGGAGCGCCAUCAUCAGCUCAGCCUUUGACAAUAGUUACUAGCGGUAUUAGCGCCCAAUUCUAAUGAUAUAGGUAUUAUCAUACAAUUCUAAUGCUAGAAUCCACAACCACAACCACACAUUAAUUGAGCCUCUCUUGCUUGUUCUCAGCCAGCAGGUAAUACAAAGACCCAUUUCCAACGAAAAAGUUUGCAAAUAGUAACAGCAUGCCAAAUUACUAGUUGUGGCUAGAGACCCUUGGUUUUUUUUAGGGCACCUCGAGUCCCGAGUGUGAAUCGUUCUGAUCUAGAAGUCGAAUUUCGUUCCGUGCAUGCAGCUUAGCAUCAGUUUUGUACUUUUGUGAGACCUGCAUACGAUGAAAAAUAUCCCUCAAGCACCUGGGCGUUCUGCCCCCUCACGCGAAUUAGGGCCACACAAGAUGCAAGUUGCAUUAUUUAAUUUAGGAGGUGUUUAGUGGUUCAGUACUUCCUAAAAUUCAUGUCACAUCGACUAUUCGGAUAUUAAUUAGAAGGAUUAAAAAUGAGUUAAUUAUAAACUAAUUACACAGAGGAGGCUAAUUCACGAGACGAAUCUAUUAAACCUAAUUAAUCCAUCAUUAGCACAUGUUUACUAUAGCAUCACAUUUAUCAAAUCAUGAACUAAUUAAGCUUAAUAGAUUCAUCUCGCAAAUUAGUCUCCAUCUAUGCAAUUAGUUUUGUAAUUAGUCUAUAUUCUAAUUAAUAUCUAAACAUUCGAUGUGACAAAUUUUAGGAGUGACCAGAGAAACAAACACCCGCUUCAGUAGCCCAUUGUUCGGUGUGUCUGCAAGCUUCGGCUUUACCUCCGACGAGAACGAAUAAAAAUUUGAGUGGUACUGUAUUCACGAUUCGGUAAUACCAGCUCACGUUUGGCUACCAGGAGGAACGGCUCGCUCCGCUACGCCCGUAAAGCAUGUGCGCUGGUGAUAUGAGCCGGUCCCGGCGCGCCUCAGGUGGCAGCCCCGACGCGCGCCCGCGGCGGCACUCCGGCGCGUGGCCGCGCGUGCGGCCGGAGAAGCCGGGGAGGCUUCGGCAGCGGCGGCACCGGCGAGAGGCGGGGAGGCACCGGCGAGAGGGGAGACGGCACGGUGGUGCUGGCGCUUGUGGCAGCGGCGGCCCGGCGAAGUGGCGCGCUGGCGGCCCGGGGUUGCCGGGAAGCGGCGCGAAUGCCCGUGGGCCGCGGGGAAGCGGCGUGGCGGCGCUGGUGACCACGGCAGCGGUAGCCCAGCGACUUCCACCUCCUGUUGCUGCCGGCUUGGGGCGGUGGGGUGGUCGGAAGGGACGUAAGCUCUAGGGUCCGUUUGGUUACGUAGGACCUCCUAAAAUUUCUAUCACAUCAAAUGUUUGAUACUAAUUAGAAGUAUUAAAUAUAGACUAAUUAUAAAAUCAUCUGCACAGAGGGAGACUAAUUUGCGAUGAAUCUAUUAAACCUAAUUACUCCAUGAUUUGACAAUAUAGUGUUACAGUAAACAUAUGCUAAUGAUGGAUUAAUUAGGUUUAAUAGAUUUAUCUCGUUAAUUAGCCUCCAUCUAUGUAAUUAGUUUUAUAACUAGAUCAAUUCUCCUAAUUAACGACCGAAUUUUUGAUAUGAUAUAAAUUUUAGUCAACUUAGUUCGGAUUAAAAAACCAAACAUCCUCCUGUUCAGCGUCCGUUUCCAAAAAGGAAGAAGGCCACGCUGGUACGCAACAUCAGGCGACGUGCGACAGCUAUCGGGCCUUCAUUCGCGAACAGUAGCAAGAGCUCUGGGAGAGCAGCAAAUCUUACAGUGAUAUAUCUCUACUUGUUGACACACACCGAGGUACCUUAUACUUAAAUUCGUCUCCGGUAGUAGUACAAAUUUUACUACAAAAUCCUCUGUUUACUAAGGGUGUGUUUGGCUGCAUGCAUGGAUGAUCCUGGAUGGUGGAGUUCAACUAAUUUGUUUAUACUAUAUGAUUCACUCUUAUUAAUACAUCUUAUUAGUAUAAUAAUGUAGUAAGUGGGAUGGCUUCAUCCUAGAUAUGAUAGUACAAUUCACCCAACCAAGCAAAAAAAAUAUUAUUAUUUUGAACCAAUCUAUACAUAAACCAAAUAAUACAAAUCUACCCUUACACUUCAAAUCAUUCUACCCCGCAUUUUUUUGCCCUUAGCAUUGCGUGGCGGCAAACCCACACAAAUAUUAACCAUGAGCUGAAAGAAUCUACCGUCAGAUAUGCUGCGAGAGUCUCUCUCCAAUAAUAGCGCGCGUCGAUAACAACCCUUUGGAUGCGUUGUGCUGGCAUGUCUCUUCUCUCCAAUAAUAGCACGUGUCAAAAACAACCCUUUGGAUGCGUUGUGCCAGCAUAUCAUCGGUACAGUCCUGCUACCUGGUAGUAGAGACGCUGAUGACAACUCCCUUGUCCCCUUUCCAAACAUUUCGGGCGGGCCUAGCUAGAGACGUUGACACGCGGAUCUGUGCCUGCCGUCAUGGCUUGACGCGAUACGAACGCUCUCAUCUGGGUACAUUACUACACCUCAACAGUUUCAUAGGUCGUCUCAUACAAUGCUAUGUAAGAUUUUUGCUGAUGUGGAGGAGAGAGGGUGAUGAGAGAGAAAGAGGUCAUUGUUUCGCGAAACAACCCCCUCAUAAGCUAGAUUUUAGGACUACAAGAUGACUAUUUCACCAUUGUACGAGUUGUGGUUGGAUGCAACUCAUAAUAUUUCCUUUUUUUUCUUGGCAAAAAUUAAGGGAAUAGAAUUACUAUGAGACAACUUAAAAGACAACUUAUUGUAAGUUGUUUAUUAAGUCAUCUCAUAAAUACGUGUCCAUGUAUAAGGGCAAGUACAUUGCUACACGUCAGCAGUCUCAUAGGUCGUCUCAUGCAGUGCCAUGUAAGAUUUUUGAUGAUGUGGAGGAGAGAGAGCGAGGAGAGAGAAAGAGGUCGUUGCUUCGCGAAACAACCACCUCGUGAGCUAAAUUGUAGGACUACGAGACAACUUAACAACCAUUGUACGAGUUAUUGUUGCCAUGCAACUUAUAAUAUUUUAUUUUUCUUAUGCACAAAUUAAGGAAUUAUAUACCAUUACCAGACAACUUAUAGGACAACCCAUUGUACAGGUUACCUAUUAAAUCAUCUCAAAAUUACGUGUCAAUGCAUGAGACCGCCUAUUAGACGACACCAAUGUACUUGCCCUAAGCACUAAGCACCAGUGCACUUGCCCUCGUUCAAACGGACCCUGGAUCCAGAUAUGCAUGCACCACCGUUCGUUCUGCAGCACACGUACAGCAACACGCCACACCUCACGUGCCACUAGCACGCGCACGCGCGCGGACCAGUCGGCGACCAUCGAGCCCUCACCCAUACCACCCCGGCACGGCGGCACCCCCUAUAUACCAUCCGCUCUCUUCGCCUCUGCAUUCUCCACACAGUGUCACGCGCACCGCACACGCAGAGGAGAGGCGGAGCGGCAUACAUGGGGGAGGAGGCCGUGGCAGCGACGAACGGCGGCCGCGGCAGCGCCGGCACCAAGCCGCACGCCGUGGUGGUGCCGUAUCCGCUGCAGGGGCACGUCAUCCCGGCGGUGCACCUGGCGCUGCGGCUCGCCGAGCGCGGCUUCGCGGUCACCUUCGUCAACACGGAGUCCGUGCACCACCAGACGACGCGCGCGCUAGCUGUGUUGGGCGGCGGCGACAUAUUCGCCGGCGUGCGCGCCUCAUCGGCGGAGCAGCUGGACCUGCGGUACGAGGUGGUGAGCGACGGGUUCCCGCUGGGGUUCGACCGGUCCCUGAACCACGACCAAUUCAUGGAGGGCGUCCUGCACGUGCUGCCCGCGCACGUCGAGGAGCUCCUCCGCCGCGUCGUCGUCGACCCGCCGUCCACCUGCCUCGUCGUCGACACCUUCUUCGUGUGGCCGGCCACGCUGGCCAGGAAGCUCGGGGUCCCCUACGUGUCCUUCUGGACGGAGCCCGCGCUCAUCUUCAGCCUCUACUACCACAUGGACCUGCUCACCAAGCAUGGCCACUUCAACUGCAAAGGUGAUGAUGAACGAAAAUCGCCUUGAAUUAAUAUAAAUUAGCUCUUCUCUGUUUGUUCAUAAAAUUCAUUUUUCUUAAAAACAAGCUCACACCUUUUUAACCAAAAAUAUAUUUAGAGAAUGCGGUUCAGUACCACACGUAGUACACGGCCUCCAGGAUGGGUACCUAUCUCCAUCUCCUUGCAAGUACGUCUAUAGCAUGAUUUUUCUUGUGGAAACCUAGAACAUGGCCAAAACAGGUGACGGGAGCAGACCCCAAUCAGGUCGUUUUUUCCUCGUAGUUUUUUGGACGUCGCUUUCACCCGUACGUGUACACAGCGCACCUGUCCAUAGCCGAUUGAGGGAUCUCUAGCCAAUUCUAUCUAGGCUUGCGAGGGAACCACGUAAUUGGAGGCUCAAGACCGAGAGGGGUGCAGAUACAGUAAGAAUUUUCUUAUCCCAUUUCUGAGGAGACACUGGUCGCCAUCUGGACCAUGCAACUGACGCUUCUGGCGGGUUUGGCUCGUUGCGCGCAUACAGCAUUCCAAAGUCUCUUUCUCUAUCAUUGUCACUCUCAAGAGAAAAACUCACUCUCAUUAUCAUCACCUCACAUGACGCUCCCUGGUUGGCUUGGUGAGGAAAAGAGUAGUAAUAUCGUGCAGGCUGAACCGGACCGAUGACUUGGCCAGCCUUAUGGACUUACGGGAGUGGCAAUUUUUUUACCACUUGGCCCAACGUCACCCAGUCAAAUGAGAACGGAUAAACGCCACUUCUCGAGUGGAUCAAGUGCCCGUAGAUUUAAGGCAUCUCGUUCUUCUGUUGAAAAAACCAACCCAUAAGCAUUUUUCUUGUAAAUGUACACCCUAAUGUGGACAUGCUUAACCGAUUCCACCUAUCUUCACUAAUGUACAAACAAGAAGGAGUGAAGGAUAAAGCUAGCCGAGCUAAGCUUGUUCACGUGCUUGGCGUAGGCUUAUUGACCAUACAGUAUUAUAGUGUUUUUUUUUUUAAAAAAGCAAAACUCAUCCUGAAAGCUUUUAAGUCCUAAUCAGAAAUUUUUUUAGUGGAGUGAACUAUAAAGACUAUAUUGGCGGCUCCAUGUUAAUGAAAAAUGGAGUGAAUCGGUUAAACAUGUGUUAUACUAGCUUUGUUCAUUGUAUGUCCAUUGGACGCCUAUUUUUCACCUCCAAAUGAUAUGGAGCGAAUCGAAUUUUUUGUCAUCAGGCUGUUGCUCUUGGUCAUCUCUUAUAGUACCCUCAAUUAUAGUGCCCUCAAGGUCUGCUUGGAUCAAUUUAACUCUAGUUGAUAUUUUUCAAAAAAAAAACUCUAGUUGAUCCAAAUAUGCCCAACUAUUCCAGCUAACAACUCUCGACUAUUUAACUAAUCACUAUCCUGCUAAUUUCAGUUGACUAUUAGCUCUACCUUAUCCAAGUAGAAGAACCUUAAAUGUCUAGCUACUGGCACUAUACUACGGUAUCCUCCUCUAGCUUCUUGUAGACCUGUUUUGGAUUAUCCUAUAUCACCUUAUCUAUUGCAUGUGCAUCCAUCUAUAUAAUACUCUACCAAGUCAAAAAGUAUGUGCGGCUGCACAGAGAGCAGCAGGAAAGCUUUGUACUCCUACUCCUGAUUCCUGUUCUUCUGCACAUUAUAUAAACCAAAUAAACCAACAAGCAGAAGCUCCCGGCCGGCGACGACCGGGCGGCGGCUAACGCGAAGGUGACAGAUCGAGUAUAAAUAACGGACGGCACGUUAGGUGACGUUGCCCGUGUCAGACACGGGGCCAGCCAUAGCGAGCUGCCGCUCCGCAGCUCAGGGACACUACACUGAGUCACUGACCAGCUGACACGUGACGAGAUAUAUCAAGCGAGGAGGCAGAGAUAAACUAGGUAUAGCUCGUCGGAAAUGGCACCGCAAGAGUCCGGCGUCGUAGCACCGGGCGGCGGCGGCAAUAAGCCGCACGCGGUGGUGGUGGCGUACCCGCUGCAGGGCCACAUCAUCCCCGUGGCGCACCUCGCGCUGCGGCUCGCGGCGCGGGGCUUCGCCGUCACCUUCGUCAGCACGGAGGCCGUGCACGACCAGACGGCGCGCGCGAUGGGCGUCGACGACCCGGACGGCUACGACGUCUUCGCGGCCGCGCGCGCGUCGGUGGCGUCGGGCGGCGAGGGGGAGGAGGAGCUGGACGUGGCGUACGAGCUGGUGAGCGACGGCCUCCCCGUGGGGUUCGACCGGUCGCUGCACCACGACGACUUCAUGGGCGCGCUGCUCCACGCUCUGCCCGCGCACGUCGAGGAGCUGCUCCGCCGCGUCGUCGUGGACCCGGCCUCCACGUUCCUCGUCGCCGACACCUUCUUCGUGUGGCCCGCGACGCUGGCCACGCGGCUCGGCGUCGCGUACGUGUCGUUCUGGACCGAGCCGGCGCUCAUCUUCAACCUCUACUACCACAUGGACCUGCUCACCCACAACGGCCACUUUAGAUGCAACGGUUUGCUUAAUUAUCCGAUGCCAUUUCUGCAGGAACCGAAACCAAUCGUCUUACAAGAUCGAUCAUCUUGGAAUACUAAUAAUAAUGUUUGUGCUCAACGACUCAUGAAUGCAGAGCCUCGCAAGGACACGAUCACGUACAUCCCUGGCGUGCCGUCGAUCGAGCCGACGGAGCUCAUGUCGUACCUGCAGGAGACGGACACCACCUCCGUGGUGCACCGCAUCAUCUUCAAGGCGUUCGACGAGGCCCGCCGCGCCGACUACGUCCUCUGCAACACCGUGGAGGAGCUGGAGCCGUCGACCAUCGCGGCUCUGCGCGCCGAGAAACCCUUCUACGCCGUGGGCCCCGUCCUCCCGGCGGGGUUCGCGCGCAGCGCCGUGGCCACGUCCAUGUGGGCCGAGUCCGACUGCUCCCGGUGGCUGGACGCGCAGCCGCCGGGGUCCGUGCUCUACAUCUCCUUCGGCAGCUACGCGCACGUGACGCGGCAGGAGCUCCACGAGAUCGCCGCGGGCGUGCUGGCCAGCGGCGCCCGGUUCCUGUGGGUGCUGCGCCCGGACGUGGUGAGCUCCGACGACCCGGACCCGCUUCCCGAGGGGUUCGCGGCGGCGGCGGCGGGGCGCGGCGUGGUGGUGCCGUGGUGCUGCCAGGUGGAGGUGCUGUCCCACGCCGCCGUGGGCGGGUUCCUGACGCACUGCGGCUGGAACUCCAUCCUGGAGAGCGUGUGGGCGGGCGUGCCCAUGCUGUGCUUCCCGCUGCUCACGGACCAGAUCACCAACCGCCGGCUCGUCGCGCGGGAGUGGCGCGCCGGCGUCUCCAUCGGGGACCGCGGCGCAGUGCACGCCGCCGAGGUGAGGGCGCGGGUCGAGGGGGUGAUGGGCGGGGAGGAGGGGGUGAAGCUCAGGGAGCAGGUGAGGAAGCUCAGGGCCACGCUCGAGGCCGCCGUGGCGCCCGGGGGAUCGUCGAGGAGCAGCUUUGACGAGUUCGUCGACGUGUUGAAGCGCCGGUGCGGCGGCGGCCAGUGAUGAUGACCCGAGCAGAGGCGACCCUGCCCCCUGUCCGACGGAGACCUCGCGGGGAGGUGGUGGCCUGGAAUGGAAUACGUGCGCGAUGCACAUCGCCAAGCACAUUGGCAUGUAUCAUGUUGUAGACGCUUUGUGUCCUCCAGUCAAGUGUACUACCGUCGAACAUAAACUGGCUCGAUCGAAGCGUGUGUACGGUCGGCCAUUGUUGUGCAGGUUUGAUGUCUACGUACUACUGUUACUGUACCGUUGGCUGAACACAGUACUACAUGUCAAUGCCGAAACAGAGAAUUAUCCCUAGUUCACUACAGGCAAAAAAAAA